UACGAAGGGGGCUAGCGUUGCUCGGAAUUACUGGGCGUAAAGGGCGCGUAGGCGGCACUGUUAGUCAGGCGUGAAAGUCCUGGGCUCAACCUGGGAACUGCGCUUGAUACGGCAGAGCUAGAGGAUGGAAGAGGCUCGCGGAAUUCCCAGUGUAGAGGUGAAAUUCGUAGAUAUUGGGAAGAACACCGGUGGCGAAGGCGGGUCUCUGGGCCGAUACUGACGCUGAGGAGCGAAAGCGUGGGGAGCGAACAGG
rnacentral:rRNA from 1 species